CUUCUUGUAAACAUAAACCAGGUAGGAGACUGGAAGACACCAAGACUUGAGGAGCCAUUAUGAAAAGCAGAAAAGGUCCAAGCCCAAAGAGGAAAGUGUCACACAAAGUGGAAACACAGACAAGCACAGACUUCUGUGGCAAAACACAUAAAAGCUGAAAAGCUGCAGGCAAAGUUACACUUUUUGUUUGGAUUUUAUAAGACCAGGAACUUCCCUGAGAGAAACUGGAAAGGAUGAAGGUGUACAGGGCCUGACACCUUUGUGACCAAGGAGAGAGAGGCUGCAGGAAUAGGUCAAGCACAAGGAAAGCAAGGGUUGAGCAAGGAAAAGCUGCACCAAUGCCUUACCUCUCUGCAGCUCCCAGGGGCUGCCCUCCUUCAGCCAGCUCAUGCAGCUCUGUGCUGCUCUUCACCAGCUAUCAAUGGACAAAACACCAAAACUAUUGGUUCAGUUCUUGUCCCAACCCAAAUCACACAUGAAAAAAGGAGGCACUGAGCUCCACUUCUGAGAACACAAUGGAUUUUUAUCCUCCUCUGCCUCUCUUGUGUCAGUCUCACAAAUUUUCCACCUGAGCCUUGAAAAGCAGCAGGUUCCUGAGAAGGCACUGAGUCAAGUGACAACCAAAAAAUUAUUUCAGACAAAUAAAAUGAGCAGUUACACAAAUCCUUCUCUAUCUCACCUCUAGUAAAAGCUCAUUAAAACCCAGUUCCCUAAUCACUUCAAUUUAAAAUAUAGAAAACCAGGAAGAUGUGAAAUACUAGUUUCUUUUUUUUUCCCUUCUUAAAUGUUUGCAAGGAGAAUCAGUUCUAAACUGUGAGGUAAAUAUGACCCUUCUGACUACUGGUGCAUGAUGAACCUUAAGAGAUUGAGAAGGACAAAGCCUAAAUCCAGCAAAUGUAGAAAACACCUAGAAAAGGAAACAUAUUUUAAAAAUGUAACAAUAAAUAGGGCAAAGAAACUAGGGAGCCAUAUAAUCUUCUGUCCAAUUUCACUAUUUGUCCUUUAUUUCUUCUUCUUUUUUCUUUUUUUUUUUUUUUAAUGGAGCCCUGAGAAGCCACCUACUGGUAUGCCCAAAUUCCUUCAGUCCAGAGUCAGCUGAAAUUUGUAUGCAACACUGUAAGAAGCAAUUAUAAAUACAUCAAAAACAAGUUUUGCCUGAGCAGUUUCAAUUCAAAAACCACUGGGAUAAAAUAAACUUGAUUUAAGUAGUGGAGCCUAUGUUGAUUAUUCCAGGUAUUAUUUAACAAGUUGAAGAGCAUGGUACCCAGCCCAAGAAUCCAGGAUGAGAUUGAUAUUUGUGCUCUAGUAUCUUGUUUCCUGUUCUGCCAGACAUCCUGCAUCAGCCAGGCAGGGAAGAGCAGCAUUGCCCUCCAGGCUACAACCCCAGCACUGCCACAGGCCAGGGAAAUAGGAAUUUUCAUACAGGGAAUAGGAAUUUUGCUAGAUUUUUGUAAAUUUAAAAGCAUAUCCAGGCUCCAGCUGACUUGAUAAUGUAGCAAAGCUUUAGUACCCAGUGUGUGUGCAAAGGCUGUUAAUACCAGAUGGCAUCAAUGAACUCCUGAAGUCCUUUCAGGAAAGCCAGAAAUCAAACUUCUCCACAGGUACAAGGAGGGGUUACUUACCAACUCAAUUCAUACAGCAUCAUGGAUGCUCUUCAGGGAUUGUGAGAUGAGAUGAGAAUGGAAGCUAAAACAUUAUUAAUAGAUAAAGGGGUCCAGGCAUUUGUGCACUGAAGAUAAAAAAAAUGAGUUUUAACUUCUUCAGAGCUUGAUUUCUGAUUGCUGUUAAUAACUACAGUUUCAAAAAUAGCUUAUUUAGACAACUAAUAAAGG